rnacentral:rRNA from 1 species
UACAGAGGGGGCAAGCGUUGUUCGGAAUUACUGGGCGUAAAGGGCGCGUAGGUGGCCUGCUAAGUCGAACGUGAAAUCCCCGAGCUCAACUCGGGAACUGCGUCCGAUACUGGUAGGCUUGAAUCCGGGAGAGGGAUGCGGAAUUCCAGGUGUAGCGGUGAAAUGCGUAGAUAUCUGGAGGAACACCGGUGGCGAAGGCGGCAUCCUGGACCGGCAUUGACGCUGAGGCGCGAAAGCUAGGGGAGCGAAAAGG